UCCUACGGGGGGCAGCAGUGAGGAAUAUUGGUCAAUGGGCGAGAGCCUGAACCAGCCAAGUCGCGUGAAGGAUGACGGCCCUACGGGUUGUAAACUUCUUUUGUCAGGGAGCAAUUGAGUCCACGUGUGGGCUUAGCGAGAGUACCUGAAGAAAAAGCAUCGGCUAACUCCGUGCCAGCAGCCGCGGUAAUACGUAUGGAGCAAGCGUUAUCCGGAAUUACUGGGUGUAAAGGGAGCGCAGACGGAUGUGCAAGUCUGAUGUGAAAGGCGGGGGCUCAACCCCUGGACUGCAUUGUAAACUGUAA
rnacentral:rRNA from 1 species